ensembl:lncRNA
GAGCGUGUUAAACCACAGACCCCUGAAUCUUUCAGGCAGCUGGGUGUUAAUAUUCUCAUUCAGCAGGUGUGGAGUAGGGUCCAGGUGUCCGCUUUCCUUGCAAGGACUCCAGGUAGCAGUGACGGAGGUGGCCGGGAGACAACCUGGACAGAAGCACUGCUCUGCCUCAGAGAACUCUGAAUUCCCCACGGAAUGUGAGUUCCUGUUCUGGGACAGACCCCGCACUGCUAUGUGAGAAAAAUUAUGGUUUUGCAAUCAGCUGCCCCCAUAGCCCACCGUUGGGCCUCAGAAGGUAGCCUUGCUGUGGGUUCCCGAACUUUUUAAGGGAAGAAUUAACUCCACCUGUGCUUAUGUGGCAGCUCACAUUUAUGUGUCUGUCCCCAACCUGUGAUUAAAGGAAUCUGUGUUCCUCGCUAGGACCGCGACUGUCAUCUUCUGCCAUCCAGCUGCUAUCCGAAGCCUGCUUUCAGGAAAAUGACGCUGAGGAAGAGAACCUAAAGGACGCUCUAAUGGAGAUAUUCUAAGUUCCACCUUUGGACCCAAUCAAUGACCAGAUAAAAAUAACACUGUAAUGAAAUUAUGCCUUAAUAUUAUGUCUGAUUCUUAUUAAAAAUUGCUUCAAGCUACUUGCAAAUGAAUACUAUUUAUGCAUUUGUUGUGAAAUUGUUGCGAUAAGAUUGUCCAAUUUAGCAUCCGAAUCUUCAGGGCUGGGAGUAGCAGAGGAGAAAAGCCUUCUUCUCCUCUCGGGAGUUGCCACCUGCUCCCCUGUCUCACAUGGUAGAGGCCGCACCGUGUGUCCCGCUUCCCCACGGCGGCCACAAAGCUUAACGUUUGGUGUUUAAUUUACACACACAGCUGCUUUGUCCUGCUUUCCAUUCCACUGGAUUUUUCAUUUGGUGUUUAUCUGUAUUCUUUUGUUUUGUUUGCAAGAUGUCUUAACUGUUAGAGAGAGAAAAGAUAUGCAUUUCUUAAAAGUUGAAGUGUUAUUAUAUUAACAGGGAAAAUCAUGUAGCGUUACUUUGUUACCAGCUAUUAAUAUGAUGCAUUAGACAGGUAACAUGUCAUUUCUAGUGAUCAUAAGCCAUCCGUGUGCACACAAGUGCAGUGUGGGCCAUGGAUCCCUCAGCGCAUGGGGAGGGUUGGACAAGGCAAGGCAGUUGUCCCACUCAUUCUGUGUCCAUCCAUUAUCUUCUCUUCACUCUCUCCUAUCACAGUCUUGUGUCUAAUGAAAGGACCUAGAAGGCUCCUUUUGCAGAAACGUCAUGUUUGUCCUCCUUGAGGUUCUGAGCUUGUCUCUCUUCCAAUCCCUCCCUCCCUGAGCUGGGGGAUUUAUAACUUCAAUAGGUUUUAACUGCCUCUCUAAGCUGAUGGCUCCCGACCCGAACUUCCAGCUGCAAGAUCUUUCCGAGUUCCAGAACCUAGUAGAAUCAAAUGAGGCCUCUGCUGCUGUACCGAAAGUCUUGGAAAAUAGUGGACAAGUCAAACCAUGGUGUUGCAUUCGGAGAGUUAACUGCACUCGAGGAGGGCUAAUAAGCAGAAGUUGGGGUAACACCUGUGUGUCUUGAAAAGACACUUCUAUUUUGCAGUCUAGAUUCUCCUUUCUCUGCAGAUCUUUCGUUAUCCCUCUACCCAACGGUUUCUGCCUGUUACUUGAAAAAUCCAUUCCAUGGUCACGUAGGUUGUGAAGUCCCUGUCUUCUCAGACACCGGUUACAAGGGAUCUGUAAGGGGAGAGUAUGUAGACCUGUGGUUAUUGAGUCUCAGACGCCCCUUACUACCAUCGUUUCACGUGCCUGGCAAGCGUCUGCCUUCUUGCUCCUUCUGCUUCUAGGGCUCACAGCAGCCGCUCGUGGCUGGCCCAGGUCUGUGGGCUGCUCUGUCCGGUCACCUAGCUGACUCCAGCAUGCCCUCAGUCUUCCUUAUGACAGGUUUGUGCUGUGGGCAGGCACACUCCACGCUGCUGUUG